rnacentral:rRNA from 1 species
GUGGGGAAUAUUGGACAAUGGGCGCAAGCCUGAUCCAGCAAUGCCGCGUGGGUGAAGAAGGUCUUCGGAUCGUAAAGCCCUUUCGACAGGGACGAUGAUGACGGUACCUGUAGAAGAAGCCCCGGCUAACUUCGUGCCAGCAGCCGCGGUAAUACGAAGGGGGCUAGCGUUACUCGGAAUUACUGGGCGUAAAGGGCGCGUAGGCGGCUCUGUUAGUCAGGCGUGAAAUUCCUGGGCUUAACCUGGGGACUGCGCUUGAUACUGCAGGGCUUGAGGCCGAGAGAGGGUGGUGGAAUUCCCAAUGUAGAGGUGAAAUUCGUAGAUAUUGGGAAGAACACCGGUGGCGAAGGCGACCACCUGGCUCGGUUCUGACGCUGAGGCGCGACAGCGUGGGGAGCAAACAGGAUUAGAUACCCCAGUAGUCC